GAUGAAGAACGUAGCAAAAUGCGAUAAGUAGUGUGAAUUGCAGAAUUCAGUGAAUCAUCGAAUCUUUGAACGCACAUUGCGCCCUUUGGUAUUCCUUAGGGCAUGCCUGUUCGAGCGUCAUUUAAACCUUCAAGCUAAGCUUGGUGUUGGGUGACUGUCCGCUUCACGGCGGACUCGCCUCAAAAUUAUUGGCGGCCGGUACAUUGGCUUCGAGCGCAGCAGAAACGCGAACUCGGGCCCGUCGUAUUGGCUCCCAGAAGCUAUCUUCACAAUUUUGACCUCGGAUCAGGUAGGGAUACCCGCUGAACUUAAGCAUAUCAAUAAGCGGAGGA
rnacentral:misc_RNA from 1 species